CUGAAGAGUGUCUAAAAAAGGAGAAGGAGAGAGUCAGUCACUACCUUCAUUUGGCACAAUUGAAAAAGACAGCAGAAGGUACUUACGACAACGGUAUUUACCCGCACAAGUAAAUACCGAGCCCACCUUCCAACAGUCGAAUCCCAUCCCACAAUACUAUUAGAGAUGCACGCAUGUUCCUUGAUACAAACUCCACGCAUUACAGUACAACCCAACAAUCUAACACCUGAAUCAAUCACGCAUCCCUGACCAAUCACCACAUCAGGGAGUUCAGGUACAUUCUGCGGCUAUCUUAGGGAAUAUCUCUUUCUCUAUCGAAGUCCGUCUCAGCUCUAUCCUGUUGAGAACAGAUGGGUUCAGGAGGUAUAUCCCAGCGUGUAUCUUGUUUCCCACAAAAUGUUUUGGUUUCUCAACGAAACUUUCAACUCUCGCUGUAGCUUCUUCCAUAACCACCACACCAUACUUAGUAGGAUCAUCAACCUGUUUGUUCUACUUAGUAAUGUUCUUAGCGAAAGCGACUUCUAUAUACUUAUGUUUAAGGUCUUCCAAUAUUUUUUUAUUAAUAGUAACAUAAAUAUUGACAUUUCAUUA